rnacentral:rRNA from 1 species
UCCAGCUCCAAUAGCGUAUAUUAAGGUUGUUGCAGUUAAAAAGCUCGUAGUUGGAUUUCUGCCUUUUUUUCCCUUUCCUCCUCCUUUCUUUCUCCUCGGCGCCCUCGCCUCCUUCUGUUAACGCCUCUCGGCAUUUACUUGCCGGUGGUGGGCUCAGAUAAUUUACCUUGAGAAAAUUAGAGUGUUUCAGGCAGGCUAGGCCGGAAUACAUUAGCAUGGAAUAAUGGAAUAGGACUACGGUCUCGUUGUUGGUUUGAGGGACUGGAGUAAUGAUUAAUAGGGAUAGUUGGGGGCAUUAGUAUUUAAUUGUCAGAGGUGAAAUUCUCAGAUUUGUUAAAGACUAACUUAUGCGAAAGCAUUUGCCAAGGAUGUUUUCAUUG